CGGAGGGUGCAAGCGUUAUCCGGAUUUAUUGGGUUUAAAGGGUCCGUAGGCGGACCGAUAAGUCAGUGGUGAAAUCUCAUAGCUUAACUAUGAACUAGCCGUUGAUACUGUCGGUCUUGAGUAAAUUUAGAAGUGGCUGGAAUAAGUAGUGUAGCGGUGAAAUGCAUAGAUAUUACUUAGAACACCAAUUGCGAAGGCAGGUCACUAAGAUUUAACUGACGCUGAGGGACGAAAAGCGUGGGGAGGCGACAGGAUU
rnacentral:rRNA from 1 species